rnacentral:tRNA from 1 species
GCGCUCGUGGCGGAAUUGGUAGACGCACCACCUUGAGGUGGUGGCGGGGAGACCCGUGGAGGUUCGAGUCCUCUCGAGCGCACCA